GGCCUGGAGCUGUAUCGGUGGGACAGGGGUGAGCUGAGGCUGUGCCUGGGGAGGGUUUCAGCCUCCAGCCCAGGCAAAGGGACAGGGCCCAGCUCAGCCCGAGCAGCAGCGGGCACGGCCCCGGGCUCAUGGCCAGGCUGCUGAAGACCCGCGGCUGGGUGCAGCUCCAGCCAUUUCCAGCAUUUCCAGCGGGCUCUGUCCCUGCACAAAGGCGCGGGUCCCCUCAGAGCCGGCAGCGCCGGGCACAGGCCCCGCUCCGAGCGCGGCCUCCCCGUGCAGGCACGGGGGACUGGCAGGAAAGGGAACGCAGGUCAGGAAAGACAGAGGAGAAAGCAGCAAAGAAAGAGGAAAGAGACACCUGAAUCACAAAAUGGAAGGUUAGAAGCAGUUUUCUAAUCCUGGGCUCCUCACCAAACUUCCCCAUCACUUAAUUCUUCUAAUUUCAUUUACCUCACUGGUGCACAAUUUGCACGCUACAAACAACUUACUGUUCUUAAAGCAUUCUGAAGCUACUAGAGGCUUAUUAAUAAAGAUGAGACUGAGGUACACUGAAGGAGGAGAGAAAAGAGAAAUUUAGAAGAAUAAUUAGAAUAACAUGGGAAGGAUUUGCAGAUGAUUUGAGUUAUGGUGCAGCAAUAAGAGAAAAGCUGAAUCAAAAGGAGUCAGAAAAAUGUAUCAGCAGAAUCCUUCCAGCCCAAACUCUACAAGACUGACCACAGAGAGGUUUGCAGGUGACCUGCUGCUGACCUUUGAGUCUUUGUCAUUCACGAUAAAGGGUUAUUUUCCUAAUCCUAAUUCAUUUUCAAGCACAGCAGAUUAACAAGAAGGGAUCACUAUCAAGCUGAAUAAUCUCCUAGCUCUAAAUAAUCACUGAAAGAGGAGCAGAAAAGGAACCAUAAUAAUUUCCUUUAACGCUGUGGAUGAGGAAUGUGCAAAAAGCGAACACAGAAAGGUGCUAGCAUGCUGUAUUUUCAUAACAAUUGGGGGUUUUUUAUCCUAAAAUGAACCCAGUCAAAUUAAAAAAGUAAUCUUAUUUAUUUCACCCUACAGUGUUACCCACAUACAGAAUUAUUCAAGAUAAGGGGAAAAUUAUUGGUUGUCUAUCUAGCAAGUUAAAUCAGAUUAAAAUACUGUAUGAAUUUUAAACAGAACUGUUCCUACACACACUUAUUUCAGGGGAAUUUAAUUUACUUAGAGAGAAUUAAGCUAAAAGAACCAGACUUGCAGAGUUCUCAGUAGCACGGUGCCCAAAUUCAGCUAUGCUGUGUCUUAUGGCUAUUUUUCAAAAUUUUCACCUUCCUUUGCUGAACAUCAAACACAGGAUACUCACAUGCUCCUACAGCUCUUAACUCAGUUCCUGCCAGCUCUUAUACACUUACAGCAAGAAUUCAGCUCUCCAAUUUUUUAUGUGUACAUAUGUGUGCACACAUACAAACACAGUUUCCUGAAUUCAACUGAGAAAAUUACAACACAAUCUAAAUCCUAAAUUCUUAGAGAAUUAAAAUAUAAACCAUAGAACAGAAUGGGAAACUUGGCAAUUUUACCUUACAUCAGAGCAAGAUAAGAAGUAAGAGGUGUUAAGAGGAACAAUAUUGCCCACAUUGCACAAAGAAACACCUCAAAUGUGUGAAAACCAAAAUAUACUGGCCAAUAUCCAAAUCAAUGCACCUGUUGGCAACAGGCAUCAUAUCUCUUAGUCUAACACCAGGAGCAUGUGUGCUCAGAUCUCAUCAGGUGUGCCUCAUUACUGCCUGCCUUUUUAAAAAAAAUCUUGUUUUUAAGAAAUAGUUCAAGUUCCAGAGAAUUUAGAGGAAUUAUCUUUCUAUUGCUCACAGCAUAACUCUCAUUAAUCAGCACAAGCUUUCCUUCCUGUGAGCAGGAACACAAUCUACCAGAGUGGAACACAAGUCCCUCUGAUUCAUUGGUUAGGCAAGGUGGGGAGAGAGGAAUUGGCAGCCCCUCCUGCUCUUAGGUGAUGCUGUAAGAUCACUGCUCAGGGCUCCUGAGCACACAGAUAAAUCUUCCCCUGACACAGCAGGGAAAGAGUGAACCAGGCACAGAGGAGCCUCCCAACUUCACCUGUCAACAAGACAAACUCAGCAAACCUUGUUUGCUCCCUCAGAUUUAUGAGACAUUAUUUACAAGAUGUGUGUGUUGUUACUGCCUGUCCUGGGAUGUUUUAUACUCAUCUGGGCACUGAACACUGCCUGUUCUGUAGCACAGAACUCCAGCCCAGCAGCCAGCCAGGGGAGAAAAGCCAUUCUAAUCAGAGAAAACAACAGAGGCAUGACAGACUCAUGGAUUUUAAGCUGUGGCACAAGAACUAACUUUAAAAUAUUACUUCCAUGAGCAAUUUUACCCUCAAAUCAAAUGAAACCAAAACAAAAUGAAAAACACAAUAAAUAAAAUCUCAAAAAAUAUUAAUUUUGAGUUUGAAUACAACUCUAACCAAAGCAUGUGUGUGAAUCAAGAGAAGAGACAGGAACUUCUUGAAGGUAGCAGGGAAUUGUUCUCACCAUCACUGACAUGUACUUGGUGUUUCCCCAGAGCUCUGCUGCUGUGUCAUCAUCCUCCCAUCUCCAGCACGUCCCUAAUCCAUUACCUGGGGAGUGUGGAUCUCUCUCUCUCCAUUACCUGGGGAGCAUGGAUCUCUCUCUCCUCCAGCAUGUCCCUAAUCCAUUACCUGGGGAGCACAGAUCUCUCUCUCUCCUCCAGCAUGUCCCUAAUCCAUUACCUGGGGAGUGUGGAUCUCUCUCUCUCCAUUACCUGGGGAGCAUGGAUCUCUCUCUCCUCCAGCAUGUCCUUAUCCCUUACCUGAGGAGCACAGGUCUCUCUCCCUCACUGGCAAUGCCAGCCUGCUGCUCCACGUGUCACCCAUGGCCUCAGGAUGUGCUGUGUUCCAGGUGAGAGCUCCCUGCCAGGACCUGCUCUGCACAACUUUCCAGAGGUAUCCCUACAGUGUUGGCUGGAUUUUUGUGCUACCAAGAACACAGCCUUUGAUUGCUCAUGCAGAAAGCUGGCUUGUGAUUAUUGGAACACUCUGAUAUCUGGCUUUGACAAGUUCCUCUUCCUUCUCCAGCCUCAUCCUCGUUUUUCACCUUGUGUGGCUUAAAUCUCCACCCUAAAUAUACUGGCUCGUCUCAAAAUAAAACAACAUAGAAACUACCAACAAACAGUUUGAAAUAAAC